GAACUAUUUUCCAAAACAAAAUAGCGGGAACGAACUAGCCCAAAAUCUAGGGAGAAGAUAAACCCUAAACCCAACCCUCAAUAACUCUCCUCUCAUCUGAAACUAUCUGUGUUUCCUUCUCUCUUAACUAUGCCUUCGUUUCCACAGCCUGGUUCAGUGACUAUCUGUGAAAUCAACCGAGAUCUAAUCACAGCUGAUAGCCUCUCUGACGAUCGAGCCAAGGAAACUUACGGAAAAAUUUUGGGAAUGGUGUUCAGCCCUAUUCCAUUUCAAGCGGAUCAACUGGCAAGCACUAGUGCGGAGCAGGAAACACAAGAGGAAGGAAGACCCAAUGGAGAGAAUACUGAGAGGAAUAGUUUGUUGAGAGAAUUGCACAGUUUUGCUAUUGAUUCUAUCAGACGCAUUUUUCAUCCCAAUUAUGUAAACAUGUUGCCAGAGGUUGAUUUUAAAGGGUUGAGCUGGCACCAACAUAAACAUAUUAUUGCAUUUAUCUCUGGUCCAAAUCAGGUUGUACUUCGUGAUUAUGAAGAUUCAGAAGGGAAGGAUGCAUGUGUCUUGACCUGUGAUUCCCAAAGAGAUAUUAAAGUUCUUGAAUGGAGGCCAAAUGGUGGAAAGUCACUUUCUGUAGCAUGCAAGGGUGGAAUCUGCAUCUGGGCAGCAUCUUAUCCUGGAAAUGUUGCAUCUGUGAGAUCUGGUGCUGCUUCAUACUUGGGUACUCUUUCUAGAGGUGCUGGAACUCGAUGGACUCUCGUGGAUUUUCUUCGAAGUCAUAAGGAUGAACAAAUAAGUGCACUUUCUUGGAGUCCUGAUGGAAGAUACUUGGCAUCUGCUUCAUAUGAAAGUUCGUCAUUCACCAUAUGGGAUGUUGCACAAGGAUUGGGAACACCAAUUCGACGGGGUUUAGGAUGUAUAUCAAUGCUCAAAUGGUCACCUACUGGUGAUUACUUUUUUGCUGCAAAAUUAGAUGGAACAUUUUAUCUUUGGGAGACAAACACAUGGACAUCUGAAACCUGGUCUUCAACUAGUGGGUUUGUAACGGGAGCAACAUGGGAUCCAGAUGGGCGUAUGAUACUGAUUGCUUUCUCUGGUUCUGCAACAUUGGGAUCUAUUCACUUUGCAUCAAAGCCUCCAUCUUUAGAUGCGCACUUAUUACCAGUUGAUUUGCCGGAGAUAAUGUCCUUGACUGGAAGUCAUGGAAUUGAGAAGAUAGCUUGGGAUGCUUCGGGAGAAAGAUUAGCAGUAUCUUAUAAGGGGGGGGAUGAUGUCUACAGGGGUCUCAUUGCCAUAUAUGAUGCUAGAAGGACUCCUCUGAUUUCUGCAUCAUUGAUUGGGUUUAUAAGAGGGCCUGGAGAGAAUCCGAAGCCAAUUUCAUUUUCAUUUCAUGACAAGUUCAAACAGGGACCAUUGCUUUCUGUUUGUUGGAGCAGUGGGUUUUGCUGUACCUACCCUCUUAUAUUUCAUUCUCACAGUCUUUCCUAGUUAAGGACCAUCUUUCUGCCUCAGAGAGGGAAAGAAGCUGUGUUACUGAUAUUCUUGAAUAUGUUGACUAGAAGCAUCGUCUUAUACUAGGAACUCAAGCAAGCAGCAGAUGGAAGAGCAUGAAAUCCAUGACAAGGUAGUCGGAGGAGAGAUUUUCUCUCUCACACACACAUUGAUCUUAUAGUCUAGGGCAGGAUGUAUUGAUUGAAAACAAAGCGGCUUAUAAAGUCUUUUAGCAAAGCAUCUGUGGACCCUUGUUUUCUUUUAUCCUUUUAAAAUUUUCUUUUGAUCACUGCAUGUUUUCAACUCCUGUGAUAAUUUUUUUUAAUACUUUAGUGAAAAUUGACAAUUUUAUCUUGUUGAAUGAUGGGAAAAGGUUGACUUGUCAGUUUCUUGACAUUUUUAUGCAAAUAUUAGCAUGGGAG
rnacentral:misc_RNA from 1 species